rnacentral:rRNA from 1 species
GACGAACGCUGGCGGCGUGCUUAACACAUGCAAGUCGAACGGAAAGGCCUGCUUUCCCUUGUGGAUUGCGGGUACUCGAGUGGCGAACGGGUGAGAAACACGUGAGUGAUCUGCCCCCAACUUGGGUAUAAGCCUGGGAAACUGGGUCUAAUUCCCGAUAGGACUGCAGGGUGGUGCCUGUGGUGGAAAACGAUUUUCUAGUGGUUGGGGAUGAGCUCGCGGCCUAUCAGCUUGUUGGUGGGGUAAUGGCCUACCAAGGCGGCGACGGGUAGCCGGCCUGGGAGGGUGGACGGCCACAGUGGGACUGAGAUACGGCCCAGACUCCGACGGGAGGCAGCAGUGGGGAAUAUUGCACAAUGGGCGGAAGCCUGAUGCAGCGACGCCGCGUGGGGGAUGACGGCCUUCGGGUUGUAAACUCCUUUCGACCGCGAGGAAGCCACCUGGUUGGAAGGGUGGUGACGGUAGUGGUAGAAGAAGCACCGGCUAACUACGUG